rnacentral:rRNA from 1 species
GGGGAAUAUUGCACAAUGGGGGAAACCCUGAUGCAGCCAUGCCGCGUGUGUGAAGAAGGCCUUCGGGUUGUAAAGCACUUUCAGCGAGGAGGAAAGGUCAGUAGCUAAUAUCUGCUGGCUGUGACGUAACUCGCAGAAGAAGCACCGGCUAACUCCGUGCCAGCAGCCGCGGUAAUACGGAGGGUGCAAGCGUUAAUCGGAAUUACUGGGCGUAAAGCGCACGCAGGCGGUUGGAUAAGUUAGAUGUGAAAGCCCCGGGCUCAACCUGGGAAUUGCAUUUAAAACUGUCCAGCUAGAGUCUUGUAGAGGGGGGUAGAAUUCCAGGUGUAGCGGUGAAAUGCGUAGAGAUCUGGAGGAAUACCGGUGGCGAAGGCGGCCCCCUGGACAAAGACUGACGCUCAGGCGCGAAAGCGUGGGUAGCGAACAGGAUUAGAUACCCCUGGUAGUCCACGCCGUAAACGAUGUCUGCUAGCCGUUGGGGGGCUUGUCCCUUCAGUGGC